GGCACGACCCGGAGAGGGAGCCUGAGAACGGAUACCACAUGCAGGAUGGCAGCAGGCGCGCAAAUUACCCAAUCCCAACACGGGGAGGUAGUGACAAUAAAUAACAAUACGGGGUUCUUAUGGAUCUCGUAAUUGGAAUGAGUACAAUUUAAAUCUCUUAACGAGGAACAAUUGGAGGGCAAGUCUGGUGCCAGCAGCCGCGGUAAUUCCAGCUCCAAUAGCGUAUAUUAAAGUUGUUGCAGUUAAAAAGCUCGUAGUUGAAUUUCGGGAUCAAUUUAUCGGUCGUGCCAAUGGUAUGAACUGGUACAAUUGGUUUCUUCCUUCUGAUAAAGCGUGAUGCCAUUAACUUGGUGUCGCCGGGGAAUCAGAACUGUUACUUUGAAAAAAUUAGAGUGUUUAAAGCAGGCUUAGGCUUGAAUACAUUAGCAUGGAAUAAUGAAAUAGGACGUUUGAUCCUAUUUUGUUGGUUUCUAGGAUCGACGUAAUGAUUAAUAGGGAUAGUUGGGGGCAUUAGUAUUCAAUUGUCAGAGGUGAAAUUCUUGGAUUUAUUGAAGACUAACUACUGCGAAAGCAUUUGCCAAGGAUGUUUUCAUUAAUCAAGAACGAAAGUUAGGGGAUCGAAGACGAUCANAUACCGUCGUANUCUUAACCAUAACUAUGCCGACUAGGGAUCGGAUGAUGUUAGUUUUUUAAAUGACUCAUCGGCGCCUUACGGGAAACCAA
rnacentral:rRNA from 1 species